GUAGCUGGUCUGAGAGGACGAUCAGCCACAAUGGCACUGAAACACGGGCCAUACUCCUACGGGAGGCAGCAGUGAGGAAUAUUGCACAAUCGACGCAAGUCGGAUGCAGCAACGCCGCGUGGACGAUGAAGGCCUUCGCGUUGUAAAGUCCUUUUAAGAGGGACGAGGAAGGACGGUACCUCUUGAAUAAGUCUCGGCUAACUACGUGCCAGCAGCCGCGUGUAACACGUAUGAGGCGAGCGUUAUCCGGAUUUAUUGGGCGUAAAGCGCAUGCAUGUGGCUAGGUAAGUCGGGUGUGAAAGCCCCGGACUUAAUCCGGGGAGGUCAUUCGAUACUGCUUGGCUUGAGUGCGGGAGAGGGAAGUGGAAUUCUCGGUGUAGUGGUGAUAUGCGUAGAUAUCGAGAGGAACACCAGUGGCGAAGGCGGCUUCCUGGCCCGUAUCUGACACUAAGAUGCGAAAGCGUGGGUAGCAAACGGACUUAGAUACUCCGGUAGUCCACGCUGUAAACGAUGGGUACUAGGUGCAGGGGGUGUAAAACUCUCUGUGCCAUAGUUAACGCACUAAGUACCCCGCCUGGGGACUACGGUCGCAAGGCUAAAACUCAAAGGAAUUGACGGGGGCCCGCACAAGCAGCGGAGCGUGUGGUUCAAUUCGAAGAUACACGAAGAACCUUACCUGGGCUUGACAUGUUGGUAGUAGUGAAGCGAAAGCGGAACGAUCCUUCGGGAAGCCAUCACAGGUGCUGCAUGGCUGUCGUCAGCUCGUGCCGUGAGGUGUUGGGUUAAGUCCUGUAACGAGCGCAACCCUCGCUGCCAGUUACAAGUGUCUGGCGGGACUGCCGGUGACAAACCGGAGGAAGGUGGGGAUGACGUCAAGUCAGCAUGGCCUUUAUGUCCAGGGCUACACACACGCUACAAUGGCCGGUACAAUAGGUUGCCAAGUCGUGAGGCGGAGCUAAUCCUCAAAACCGGUCUCAGUUCGAAUUGCAGGCUGCAACCCGCCUGCAUGAAGUUGGAGUUGCUAGUAACGCGCGUCAGCAAUAGUGCGUGAUACGUUCCCGGCAUUGUACACACCGCCCGUCACGUCAUGGGAGUUGGUAACACCUGAGACAGUGGGCUGACC
rnacentral:rRNA from 1 species